rnacentral:misc_RNA from 1 species
GAUGAAGAACGUAGCGAAAUGCGAUAAGUAAUGUGAAUUGCAGAAUUCAGUGAAUCAUCGAAUCUUUGAACGCACAUUGCGCCCGCCAGUAUUCUGGCGGGCAUGCCUGUUCGAGCGUCAUUACAACCCUCAGGCCCCCGGGCCUGGCGUUGGGGAUCGGCGAGGCGCCCCCGCGGGCACGCGCCGUCCCCCAAAUACAGUGGCGGUCCCGCCGCAGCUUCCAUUGCGUAGUAGCUAACACCUCGCAACUGGAGAGCGGCGCGGCCAUGCCGUAAAACACCCAACUUCUGAAUGUUGACCUCGAAUCAGGUAGGAAUACCCGCUGAACUUAAGCAUAUCAAUAAGCGGAGGA